rnacentral:snRNA from 8 species
CGACUCUGGUUUCUCUUCAUUACGCACAAGCCUUUCGCCUUUUACUAAAGACUUCC